rnacentral:rRNA from 1 species
GACGAACGCUGGCGGCGUGCUUAACACAUGCAAGUCGAACGAAGAGCGAUGGAAGCUUGCUUCUAUCAAUCUUAGUGGCGAACGGGUGAGUAACGCGUAAUCAACCUGCCCUUCAGAGGGGGACAACAGUUGGAAACGACUGCUAAUACCGCAUACGAUCUAAUCUCGGCAUCGAGGAUAGAUGAAAGGUGGCCUCUACAUGUAAGCUAUCACUGAAGGAGGGGAUUGCGUCUGAUUAGCUAGUUGGAGGGGUAACGGCCCACCAAGGCGAUGAUCAGUAGCCGGUCUGAGAGGAUGAACGGCCACAUUGGGACUGAGACACGGCCCAGACUCCUACGGGAGGCAGCAGUGGGGAAUCUUCCGCAAUGGACGAAAGUCUGACGGAGCAACGCCGCGUGAGCGAUGACGGCCUUCGGGUUGUAAAGCUCUGUUAAUCGGGACGAAAGGCCUUCUUGCGAAUAGUGAGAAGGAUUGACGGUACCGGAAUAGAAAGCCACGGCUAACUACG